ACAUGUCUUUUUGUAAAUAAUUUAAAGUUUAAUUUGCCCACUGAUNAAAUUAUUAAAGGGCUGCAGUAUUUUGACUGUACAAAGGUAGCAUAAUCAUUAGUCUCUUAAUUGGUGACUUGUAUGAAAGAUUGGAUGAAAUAUAUACUGUCUCUAAUUAAUUUAUAAAAUUUAAUUUUUUAGUAAAAAAGCUAAAAUAAGUUUAAAAGACGAGAAGACCCUAUAGAGUUUAAUAAUUUAUUUAAUUAUUAUUAAUAUAUAAAUUUUAAAUUUAAAAUUAAAUAAAUUAUUUUGUUGGGGUGAUAGAAAAAUUAAAUUAACUUUUUUUUUAUUUUAUACAUGAAUUUAUGAAUAGAUGAUCCAUUAAUAAUGAUUAAAAGAAAAAAUUACCUUAGGGAUAACAGCGUAAUUUUUUUUUUUAGUUCAAAUAGGAAAAAAAGUUUGCGACCUCGAUGUUGGAUUAAGAUAAAAUUUAAAUGCAAAAGUUUAAAAUUUUAAUCUGUUCGAUCAUUAAAAUCUUA
rnacentral:rRNA from 1 species